rnacentral:rRNA from 1 species
AUUGAACGCUGGCGGCAGGCCUAACACAUGCAAGUCGAGCGGAUGAAGGGAGCUUGCUCCUGGAUUCAGCGUCGGACGGGUGAGUAAUGCCUAGGAAUCUGCCUGGUAGUGGUGGGUAACGUCCUGAAACGGGCGCUAAUACCGCAUACGUCCUGAUGGUGAAAGUUGGGGAUCUUCGGACCUCACGCUAUCAGAUGAGCCUAGGUCGGAUUAGCUAGUUGGUGGGGUAAAGGCCUACCUAGGCGACGAUCCGCAACUGGUCUGAGAGGAUGAUCAGUCACAUUGGAACUGAGACACGGUCAAGACUCCUACGGGAGGCAGCAGUGGGGAACAGUGGACAAUGGGCGAAAGCAUUAUACAGCCAUGCCGCGUGUGUGAAGAAGGUCUUCGGAUUGUAAAGCACUUUAAGUUGGGAGGAAGGGCAGUAAGUUAAUACCUUGCUGGUUUGACGUUAACAACAGAAUAAGCACCGGCUAACUUCGUG